UACGUAGGUGGCAAGCGUUGUCCGGAAUCAUUGGGCGUAAAGCGCGCGUAGGCGGCCCGGUAAGUCCGCUGUGAAAGUCCAGGGCUCAACCCUGGAAAGCCGGUGGAUACUGCCGGGCUAGAGUCCGGAAGAGGCGAGUGGAAUUCCUGGUGUAGCGGUGGAAUGCGCAGAUAUCAGGAGGAACACCAAUGGCGAAGGCAGCUCGCUGGGACGGUACUGACGCUGAGGCGCGAAAGCGUGGGGAGCGAACAGG
rnacentral:rRNA from 1 species